rnacentral:rRNA from 1 species
UACAGAGGUCUCAAGCGUUUGUUCGGAUUCAUUGGGCGUAAAGGGUGCGUAGGUGGCGCCGUAAGUCGGGUGUGAAAUUUCGGAGCUUAACUCCGAAACUGCAUUCGAUACUGCGGUGCUUGAGGACUGGAGAGGAGACUGGAAUUUACGGUGUAGCAGUGAAAUGCGUAGAGAUCGUAAGGAAGACCAGUGGCGAAGGCGGGGUCUCUGGACAGUUCCUGACACUGAGGCACGAAGGCCAGGGGGAGCAAACGGGG